UUUUCGCUUAUCGCAACUUAAAACAGAAAGGUGACUCUUAAACACUGUAUGUGCUAGAGCGAAAUAAACAUACUUGAAGCGAAAAUCAAUAAAGACGAUUGUAGAAUUUUCCGGAUUUUUUCGAGCUACACAGCCAGCAAGUAUAAAUACAGCAGCGCCAGCCUUCAUGUCAUCAUUUGUGAUUGAAACGUGAAAGUUGGUGUUAAAUUCAAGUGUAAAAGCAAGAGAAAGUGUACAAGUUAUGUAUAUUGUUAUUAAGUUGGUGAUCUUGAGGAACAAAAAGUAGUUGUUGUGAAAUUAAAGUUUGCAGAAAUGGCGACCGGAAGUUGGUGUUUAGUGAUGAAAUUGGCAGCAGUCUUGUUCGAAGAAGAAGAACCCGGUUAGCGGAAGCAACGACGAGGGUUAUAUAUGUAUAAUCUGAAUGCAUUUGGAAAUCAAGUCAGAAGAAAAGGCUAAGCACAGAGUCAAUGCGUGGAGUUUUUUCCCCCCUGGAACUUCUAGCUACCGAUUACUAGCUGUUCACAUUUGACCAGAUGUAUGUAUCUGUACGUACGUAGUAUCUGUUAAAAUAGGCAGGAUGAAUAUUUUCGAAUGAGGCCAGGCAGGAUUGUAACGAGGAAACAAGUAGAUGCAGACAGGCAGGCAGUCAGGCUAACGUACGUAGUGUGCAUAUGAUUUGGCAGAAAGCUGCGAUGACUGACAAACUCCUCAAGGUGCCAAAAGGAUGAGGAGAAUGAGUAAGUUGUUGGGCGUCUUGAAAAGCAAUUUUGUCGCUUAUACUUCUACCACAUGCAAACCUAAGUAAAUAACUAAAAGUUAUUAACGUUUGCUGAUAGAACUGAAACGUUCAGUAUUAAAUGACAAUAUUUGACCAUAGGCGCCGCAGAGCUCGUAUUAAACUGAAGACAAAGCGAUUACUAUCUACCCAUCUACAAAAUAUAGAACCUACGGCUAAAUAUUCUUCUUCUGCGAGAUUGUUGUUUCUUCUACUGCAAAAUCCCUUGUCACCGACGGUAGAGGAAUGCUAUUAUGAUGCAGAAUUGGUGUUUUUGUUCCACUUACUUACAUACGUACAAUAUAUUUAAAUCCCCGAGAUUAGCACGAAUUCGUUAAGAAACCUAACACAAUUUAUACAUAUGAAACGUUGAAAAGAAAAAAAUUAUAUGCAAUUUAUUAGGGAUUGAAUGAAUAAUUCAAUUGCUACAGUAUGUACUAGUGUCACAUAAACAAACAGAAAAUCAAACUAAUUAACAUACAUAUAAAUUUAUUGGUCUUUCAUAAAUUAUGUUAUUCAAAACUGCGUUAAUUAUAAAAUAUAUGAGAAAGGAAAAAAUUUAUACAAAUCAAACCAAAGCAAAGUACUGAAAAAAAGGAAUGCAAAAACUAAAAAAAUCAAAAAUUACAGCUAAGGUUAAAAUAAAUUAAAAUUCCCCUCCAUUC